CUCCCUUUCUCCCGCAGAACCGGCCUGGGGCUUCCGCAGGCGGGAUUACUGGCACUGGCUGGAGCAGCUCCCCGCGGGGACCAGCGGCCGCUGAGCGCCCUGAGCUAGGCUGGGGUGAAAAUCUGAGCUGUGGUGGCGCCUGUCACCAUGAGCGACACGCUCAUCCCAAAGAGCCCAGGCGCAGGGAGCGCGCUCCGGUGUGCGGCCAAAGCUGCUUCCCCCCUUCCCGAACAGGCCGGAGCCUCCGUCCGUGAGCAUCCGCAGGGCCGCGGGCUGUGAGCUGGCACAGACCCCCCGACUACUGGAGAUCCGCAUCCGGGGGAGCUGCUGCCCGCGGGAGGUGGGCUGUGAAACGGAGGUGUAACCUGUGCUGUUUCGCUGGUUUUCAGUUCUAUGAUCCAGGGAGCUCCAUCCUCGGCAGUGAAGAUCUCCAGGAGCCGUUCCUCUCGCUGCUGCUGGUGCUGACAGAUCGAUUUCUCCCUGGACCUGCAGAAUUGCAGCUUCUUGGACGAGAGCUGGCUGCUGCCGGUGAGAGCCCAUGGGAGCCGUCCUUCUGCCACCUGGCCCUCCCUGAAAAGUCACAGGAGGAAGACAAGGAACAGUUUGGAGGGGAGGGAUUGCCGCACACCCCGGGGUGAAUUGGCUCAGGCUCACCAGGAUGAGCAGAGCUGCCUCUGCUAUCGAGGCUGGAUCCUGCUGGUUACCUGCAGCAUCGCCAGGAGCAGAUCCCAGCAUUCCUGGGAGUAAAACCAAGCAAGAGAAGCACCCGGGCCUGAAUCUCUGAUAUAAGUGAAGUUUUCCCAUGCUCCCUUCCCUGAUUUCUUGCCAAAAAA